rnacentral:lncRNA from 1 species
AUGCGGGAACUUUUCAUGCGAUGGAACCUCUGCACUGUGAUGGUGGUGGCGGCUGUACCUUGCAUCCAACUCUCCGAACGCAAGGAAUUUUGGAACUGGCAUCCCCUUGAGGUUGGUAUCGCGAUGACUACAGCAGCUGUUCUGGAAAUGCCAUCUCUACUUGACAGUGGCCCGGAAGAAAGCAGCUAAUUUUCCUCAGUGGCCACCUGGAGGAUUGAGGAAAGAAAGUUGGAGCAAAUUUCUCCCCACAUCCCACUGGCCUUGGGCCUAGGUGUUUACGAGUGUGACUGUCUCAAGGUGGAGGAUUUUGUGUAAUUUUCAAUUUCUUCCUUAUGUCGAAUCAAAUUUUAAAAAUCAAAUGUAUUGUUACUCUGGUCCAGAGUUCAAUCCCCGGUACCAAAAUAAACACAUAAAAUAAAGCUGUUUUUAUUAUGAAACAGUUAUUUCAUAAUAAUAGUGAGUUGAGAUGAGAAUAGACAUAUUUAUCUCAUUAAAGUUUCACUUUUAUCGAGAUCUUGGCAGGAAGUUUUGUUUUUUAAAAUGUAAUCUUUGCUUAAAUGGCCC